CCCAGACUCCUACGGGAGGCAGCAGUGGGGGAUAUUGCACAAUGGGGGGAACCCUGAUGCAGCGACGCCGCGUGGGUGAAGGAGCGUUUCGGCGCGUAAAGCCCUAUCGGCAGGGAAGAAGGAGGACGGUACCUGACUAAGAAGCCCCGGCUAACUACGUGCCAGCAGCCGCGGUAAUACGUAGGGGGCAAGCGUUAUCCGGAUUUACUGGGUGUAAAGGGGGCGCAGACGGCAGCGCAAGCCAGGAGUGAAAGCCCGGGGCCCAACCCCGGGACUGCUCUUGGAACUGCGCGGCUGGAGUGCAGGAGGGGCAGGCGGAAUUCCUGGUGUAGCGGUGAAAUGCGUAGAUAUCAGGAGGAACACCGGUGGCGAAGGCGGCCUGCUGGACUGCAACUGACGUUGAGGCCCGAAAGCGUGGGGAGCAAACAGGAUUAGAUCCCCCGGUA
rnacentral:rRNA from 1 species